rnacentral:lncRNA from 13 species
ACCAAAUCUGCCAGCACCUCUGUCUUGAACGUUCCAGUCUUCAGAGCCAUGACUCGCAGUAUUUCUUUGAAGUGUGCAUCUGUUGUGAAGAAGGAGUACAGCUGGAAAAAAUAGAGCGUCAACUGUAUUUUCUGUUGUUUUCAUAGGUCUUGGGUGUGUGGCUCUAAAAAUUCGAGUUUGCCAAGGAGGUGGUGGAAGGAUG